rnacentral:rRNA from 1 species
UAGGGAAUCUUCCGCAAUGGACGCAAGUCUGACGGAGCAACGCCGCGUGAGUGAAGAAGGAUUUCGGUUCGUAAAACUCUGUUGUUAGAGAAGAACAGCGCAUAGAGUAACUGUUAUGCGUGUGACGGUAUCUAACCAGAAAGCCACGGCUAACUACGUGCCAGCAGCCGCGGUAAUACGUAGGGGGCUAGCGUUGUCCGGAAUCACUGGGCGUAAAGGGUUCGCAGGCGGAAAUGCAAGUCAGGUGUAAAAGGCAGUAGCUUAACUACUGUAAGCAUUUGAAACUGCAUAUCUUGAGAAGAGUAGAGGUAAGUGGAAUUUUUAGUGUAGCGGUGAAAUGCGUAGAUAUUAAAAAGAAUACCGGUGGCGAAGGCGACUUACUGGGCUCAUUCUGACGCGGAGGAACGAAAGCGUGGGUAGCAAACAGG